rnacentral:rRNA from 1 species
UGAACGACUCUUGGCGACGGAUAUCUUGGCUCUUGCAUCGAUGAAGGACGCAGCGAAAUGCUAUACGUUGUGUGAAUUGCAGAAUCCCGUGAACCAUUGAAUUUUUGAACGCAAGUUGCGCCCAAUGCCAUUUAUAGGCCGAGGGCACGCCUGCCUGGGUGUCAUUC